UACGGAGGGGGCCAGCGUUGUUCGGAAUUAUUGGGCGUAAAGGGCGCGUAGGCGGUCGGGUAAGUCUGACGUGAAAUCCCUUGGCUCAACCAAGGAACUGCGUCUUAAACUGCCCGGCUUGAGUCCGGGAGAGGGUAGUGGAAUUCCCAGUGUAGCGGUGAAAUGCGUAGAUAUUGGGGGGAACACCGGUGGCGAAGGCGGCUACCUGGACCGGUACUGACGCUGAGGCGCGAAAGCUAGGGUAGCAAACAGG
rnacentral:rRNA from 1 species